AUUGAACGCUGGCGGCAGGCCUAACACAUGCAAGUCGAGCGAGCGGCGGACGGGUGAGUAAUGUCUGGGGACUGCCCGAUAGAGGGGGAUCACUACUGGAAACGGUAGCUAAUACCGCAUACUAUCGGAUAACCCAUAGGGGAUUAGCUAGUAGGUGAGGUAAUGGCUCACCUAGGCGACGAUCCCUACCUGGUCUGAGAGGAUGAUCAGCCACACUGGGACUGAGACACGGACGAGACUCCGACGGAGGCAGCAGUGGGGAAUAGUGCACAAUGGGCGCAAGCCUGAUGCAGCAAUGAAGCGUGUAUGAAGAAGGCCCGAGGGUUGUAAAGGACUUUCAGUCGGGAGGCGUUACCGACAGAAGAAGCACCGGCUAACUCCGUGCCAGCAGCCGCGGUAAUAC
rnacentral:rRNA from 1 species